rnacentral:rRNA from 1 species
AGCAGCCGCGGUAAUUCCAGCUCCAAUAGCGUAUAUUAAAGUUGUUGCAGUUAAAAAGUUCGUAGUUGAAUUUCGGGAUUAGUAGUCUGGUCGUGCCACUGGUAUGUACUGGUCUUACUGACUUCUCCUUCUUGAAGAACCGUAAUGUCAUUAAUUUGUUGUUGCGGGGAAUCUGGACUGUUACUUUGAAAAAAUUAGAGUGUUUAAAGCAGGCUAACGCUUGAAUACAUUAGCAUGGAAUAAUGAAAUAGGACGUUCGAUCCUAUUUUGUUGGUUUCUAGGAUUGACGUAAUGAUUAAUAGGAAUAGUUGGGGGCAUUAGUAUUCAAUUGUCAGAGGUGAAAUUCUUGGAUUUAUUGAAGACUAACUACUGCGAAAGCAUUUGCCAAGGAUGUUUUCAUUAAUCAAGAACGAAAGUUAGGGGAUCGAAGACGAUCAGAUACCGUCGUAGUCUUAACCAUAAACUAUGCCGACUAGGGAUCGGAUGAUGUUAAUUUUAUAAUGACUCAUUCGGCGCCUUA